CAGUAGCACGCUCAAGACCCGAAGCGGAGUGAUCUAGCCAUGGGCAGGUUGAAGCGGAGGUAAGACUUCGUGGAGGACCGAACCCACCAGGGUUGAAAACCUGGGGGAUGACCUGUGGUUAGGGGUGAAAGGCCAAUCAAACUCCGUGAUAGCUGGUUCUCCCCGAAAUGCAUUUAGGUGCAGCGUCGUGUGUUUCUUGCCGGAGGUAGAGCACUGGAUAGGCGAUGGGCCCUACCGGGUUACUGACCUUAGCCAAACUCCGAAUGCCGGUAAGUGAGAGCGCGGCAGUGAGACUGUGGGGGAUAAGCUCCAUGGUCGAGAGGGAAACAGCCCAGAGCAUCGACUAAGGCCCCUAAGCGUACGCUAAGUGGGAAAGGAUGUGGAGUCGCAGAGACAACCAGGAGGUUGGCUUAGAAGCAGCCACCCUUGAAAGAGUGCGUAAUAGCUCACUGGUCUAGUGAUUCCGCGCCGACAAUGUAGCGGGGCUCAAGCGUACCGCCGAAGUCGUGUCAUUGCAGCAAGAGGGCCAACGCCCGCUGUGAUGGGUAGGGGAGCGUCGUGUGCCGGGUGAAGCUGCGCCGGAAGGCAGUGGUGGACGGUUCACGAGUGAGAAUGCAGGCAUGAGUAGCGAUACACACGUGGGAAACGUGUGCGCCGAUUGACUAAGGGUUCCUGGGUCAAGCUGAUCUGCCCAGGGUAAGUCGGGACCUAAGGCGAGGCCGACAGGCGUAGUCGAUGGAUAACCGGUUGAUAUUCCGGUACCCGCUGUGAAGCGUCAAACAUCGAA
rnacentral:rRNA from 1 species